CGAUAGAGAGAAGCUUGCUUCUCUUGAGAGCGGCGGGCGGGUGAGUAAUGCCUAGGAAUCUGCCUGGUAGUGGGGGAUAACGUUCGGAAACGGACGCUAAUACCGCAUACGUCCUACGGGAGAAAGCAGGGGACCUUCGGGCCUUGCGCUAUCAGAUGAGCCUAGGUCGGAUUAGCUAGUUGGUGGGGUAAUGGCUCACCAAGGCGACGAUCCGUAACUGGUCUGAGAGGAUGAUCAGUCACACUGGAACUGAGACACGGUCCAGACUCCUACGGGAGGCAGCAGUGGGGAAUAUUGGACAAUGGGCGAAAGCCUGAUCCAGCCAUGCCGCGUGUGUGAAGAAGGUCUUCGGAUUGUAAAGCACUUUAAGUUGGGAGGAAGGGUUGUAGAUUAAUACUCUGCAAUUUUGACGUUACCGACAGAAUAAGCACCGGCUAACUCUGUGCCAGCAGCCGCGGUAAUACAGAGGGUGCAAGCGUUAAUCGGAAUUACUGGGCGUAAAGCGCGCGUAGGUGGUUAGUUAACUUGGAUGUGAAAUCCCCGGGCUCAACCUGGGAACUGCAUUCAAAACUGACUGACUAGAGUAUGGUAGAGGGUGGUGGAAAUUCCUGUGUAGCGGUGAAAUGCGUAGAUAUAGGAAGGAACACCAGUGGCGAAGGCGACCACCUGGACUGAUACUGACACUGAGGUGCGAAAGCGUGGGGAGGAAACAGGAUUCAAGC
rnacentral:rRNA from 1 species